CCAAUAGCGUAUAUUAAAGUUGUUGCAGUUAAAAAGCUCGUAGUUGAAUUUCGGGAUCAGUACGCUGGUCGUGCCUUGUGUAUGUACUGGUGUUACUGGUUCCUACCUUCUGACGAACCGUCAUGUCAUUAAUUUGGUGUGGCGGGGAAUCAGGACUGUUACUUUGAAAAAAUUAGAGUGUUUAAAGCAGGCUCGCGCUUGAAUACAUUAGCAUGGAAUAAUGAAAUAGGACGUUCGAUCCUAUUUUGUUGGUUUCUAGGAUUGACGUAAUGAUUAAUAGGGAUAGUUGGGGGCAUUAGUAUUCAAUUGUCAGAGGUGAAAUUCUUGGAUUUAUUGAAGACUAACUACUGCGAAAGCAUUUGCCAAGGAUGUUUUCAUUAAUCAAGAACGAAAGUUAGGGGAUCGAAGACGAUCAGAUACCGUCGUAGUCUUAACCAUAAACUAUGCCGACUAGGGAUCGGAUGAUGUUAUUUUUAAUGACUCAUUCGGCGCCUUACG
rnacentral:rRNA from 1 species